AUACUGCCAAGAAAAGCCUCGUAGCGAGUUUUCCAGGUGACCGUACCGCAAACCGACACAGGUAGGCGAGGAGAGAAUCCUAAGGCGCGUGAGAGAACCCUGGUUAAGGAACUCGGCAAAAUGACACCGUAACUUCGGGAGAAGGUGUGCCCUCAUUAGGUGAAGGUACUUGCUAUUGGAGCUGAAGGGGGUUGCAGAGAAGAGGCGGUAGCGACUGUUUACUAAAAACACAGGACUCUGCUAAAUCGCAAGAUGACGUAUAGGGUCUGACGCCUGCCCGGUGCUGGAAGGUUAAGGGGUGGUGUUAUCGGGGGCAACCUUGAGAAGCGCUGAACCGAAGCCCCAGUAAACGGCGGCCGUAACUAUAACGGUCCUAAGGUAGCGAAAUUCCUUGUCGGGUAAGUUCCGACCUGCACGAAUGGCGUAACGACUUCCGCGCUGUCUCAACCAGGGACUCAGUGAAAUUGCAGUCUCGGUGCAGAUACCGAGUACCCGCGGCUAGACGGAAAGACCCCGUGCACCUUUACUACAGCUUGGCAUUGGAUUUUGGGCGUGUAUGUGUAGGAUAGGUGGGAGGCAAUGAAGUGGGGGCGCCAGCCUUCAUGGAGCCAGCGUUGAAAUACCACCCUUAUGCGUUUAGAGUUCUAACCUGGAUGAGUGAACCCUCAUUGGGGACAGUGCCUGGUGGGUAGUUUGACUGGGGCGGUCGCCUCCCAAAAGGUAACGGAGGCGCGCGAAGGUUCCCUCAGGCUGAUUGGAAACCAGCCGUAGAGUGUAAAGGCAGAAGGGAGCCUGACUGUGAGAGAGACAUUUCGAGCAGGGACGAAAGUCGGUCUUAGUGAUCCGGCGGUUCUGAAUGGAAGGGCCGUCGCUCAACGGAUAAAAGGUACGCCGGGGAUAACAGGCUGAUCUCCCCCAAGAGUUCACAUCGACGGGGAGGUUUGGCACCUCGAUGUCGGCUCAUCGCAUCCUGGGGCUGGAGCAGGUCCCAAGGGUUCGGCUGUUCGCCGAUUAAAGCGGUACGUGAGCUGGGUUUAAAACGUCGUGAGACAGUUUGGUCCCUAUCUACCGUGGGCGCAGGAAUUUUGAGGGGUACUGUCCCUAGUACGAGAGGACCGGGAUGGACGAACCUCUGGUGUACCAGUUGUCACGCCAGUGGCAGCGCUGGGUAGCUAAGUUCGGACGGGAUAACCGAUGAAAGCAUCUAAGCGGGAAGCCUUCCCCAAGAUGAGAAUUCCCCUCCGGAGCGAUCCGGGCUGAAGGCCCCUUGAAGACCACAAGGUUGAUAGGUCGGGUGUGUAAGCACAGUAAUGUGUUGAGCUAACCGAUCCUAAUGGGCCGUGCGGCUUGACCAU
rnacentral:rRNA from 1 species